CCAGCCUCUGGGGUGGAAGUCUUUGCCUUGGGCUUCAGAAAUGUCUGAGAACACGGGAGUGAGCUCUUCAUCCAGGAUGAGUGACCGAAGCCUGGGGUUACACAGUCUCCAGAGGUCCUGAGGAGGUGCGCCUGAGGUGGUCAUGUUCCGGUUUGGUUGCACACAUUUCGAGGAGACAGGAAUUGCAGGUAAAAUCAUAAAUCAAUACACUGAGGGUAUACAUGAGCUCGGCCUGAACCCGUGGACAUCUUGAAGUCAGGGGCUUACAAGUCAUAGUAGGUUUUAAAGAUUCUUUUUUCUCACUCCUUCCUGCAUACUGAAAACGUUUCUUGAGGUGUGUGUGUGUGUGUGUGUGUGUGUGUGUGUGUGUGUGUGUGUGUUUUGACACAGUUCUCACUCUGUUGUGCAGUGGCAUGACCAUGGCUCACUGCAGCCUUGACCUCUCAGGCUCAACUGAUCCUCCCGGCUCAGCCUCCCAAGUAGCUGGGACCACAGAUAUGCACCACCACCCCCGCCUAAUUUUAUUUUACUUUUUGUAGAGACGGGUUCUCGUUGUGUUGCCCAGGCUGGUCUCAAACUUCU
rnacentral:lncRNA from 10 species